UCGAGUUCUCCUUGAUGCCCCCUGUUCAGCUCUUGGUUUGCGACCUAGACUUUUUGCUGGAGAGGAAACUGUAGGAUCCUUAAGAAAUCAUGCGAAGUAUCAGAGGAGAAUGUUUGACCAGGCUGUUAAACUAGUUCGCCCUGGUGGAGUUAUUGUGUAUUCCACAUGCACAAUAAACCCUGGUGAGAAUGAAGCACUGGUACGAUAUGCUUUGGAUACAUAUAAGUUCCUCUCCUUAGCACAACAGCACCCAAGGAUUGGAGGACCUGGCCUUAUUGGUGGUCAUGAAUUUCCUGAUGGAUACGUGGAGGAGUGGUUAAGACCUGGAGAAGAAGAACUUGUUCAGAGGUUUGAUCCAUCAUCUUCCCUUGACACAAUUGGAUUUUUCAUAGCCAAGUUUGUGGUUGGCCCCAAAAAUAUUUAAACUUUGGGAAAAUAUUACUUCCCAUUGAGAUCUGAAUCAGGUAGGGUGGUAGGAAAAAAUUAUGGAAAUGUUCUCAUUAUCUCUGCUUAAGACGAUCAUGUGUAGCAGAGGCGAAGAGCGGAGCAUCUUCAUGCCUAUAUGAUGCAGAAAUCAUGAAGAGAAUGGUUAGUAUUUUACAUUCAAUUAUUUUCACCCUUCAAAGGUUUACAAAAGGCUUAAUUCUCUG
rnacentral:misc_RNA from 1 species